rnacentral:lncRNA from 1 species
CACCUGUGUGCAUCACAAGCUUUAUGUCUUCACAGUUCUGAGUUCCUUCUUUGCUGUUUUUCAGGUGGCAGAGCUGGUGCACAAAGAAUCUAUAACUUGCUCAAGGUCGGCCAGAAACCCAUGGCAGAAAGUAGAAUUGCAAUACCCUUACAAUUACGGUUGCAUAGAUGUGUACAAGCUUAUCAAAUUGGACAGAAUUAAGGACACUAUGACAAGGAGAGUUCAGGACACUAAACUAGUUCUUAUGACACACCCUGUGGAUCUACAUUUCACAGAAUCACAGAAUUUUUUCAUCUUCUCUUCAGGAGAAAAGCAUGUGGACUCUCGACUUUUAAUAAGUGUUGUGUCAUCCAGAGAAAACUAGAAACAGUUGUGUCCAAAGGAAAAGACAAUAUGAAGUGACAACUUAUGCUGGCCUGCAGGAGCUUGAUCGCAUUAAUUCCCUAAUGGAGAAGCUAAUGUAUGUCAUCACUCUACCAUGUGUAAUCAUCUCAGACUGGAGAGAACAGUAUUUCUUCCAGCUGAAUACGUUUUGAUCUAUUCUCAAAAUAUUACUGCAACAUUCAUUUUUAUCUGUGAGUGGUAAAGAACUUUAAUUUGCAUAUUACCACUUCUUGUUUUCAUUUCAGAGUUUUAAAGGAAUUCAGUGAAGUGAAAGAGUAAAUGAUAUAAAUGAUAAAUAGAUAAUACUUAUUCAAAGUGUAUCAGUAUUUUGUCAUGCUUCAAGAACCUGUCAUGUAGUACAUACCUACACCUAAGCAGCUGCUCACCUCUUGCCUGAGGCUUUGGGAUUAAAGUAGCCAGUGGUCAACCUUACUCAGCAAAUUUUUUCUUUCCAACAAAGCUAGUGGGUUACUGUAAAUAACGCAAUGGAAGACCUGCACCUUCUGGUUCCAACUAAACAUGCAGCUACUUGAAGUUCAGUUUAUAUAAGAAGUGUGUACAAACAAAAUGGCUGCAUAUUUUCUACUUAAUUAGAAAUGUUGAGAUAAUUAUUUUUGUAGACGUAGAUCUUUGUGAUCGAACACAGCUAGAGGAUUUGGUACUUCAUGUUAAGGCUUUACUUUAGACAGAAUUUGUUCCAUGCAAAGUUUUUUGAAAAUUGUUACAAUACUUAUAGCCUAAAUGUAGAUCAAGGAAUCAGUGCAGGAAAAUAGUAUUGAAACAGUCUAUUUCAAUGAUAGAGCUACUUGCAAAAUGCAUUAAAAAUGCCUUUGCUUGUUCUUUGUGCUGAGACUCUUUACUGUAAGAGAGAAGUCAAAUGGUGUCACCUGAUAUAAAUAAAAUCUUGUGGUGUUAAGAAAAGUACUAGGAG